rnacentral:rRNA from 1 species
UACGGAGGGUCCAAGCGUUAUCCGGAUUUAUUGGGUUUAAAGGGUACGUAGGCGGAAGAUUAAGUCAGUAGUGAAAUCCCAUCGCUCAACGAUGGAACUGCUAUUGAUACUGGUUUUCUUGAAUAUACUUGAAGUAGGCGGAAUACGACAUGUAGCGGUGAAAUGCAUAGAUAUGUCGUAGAACACCGAUUGCGAAGGCAGCUUACUAAGGUAUUAUUGACGCUAAUGUACGAAAGCGUGGGGAGCGAACAGG